rnacentral:ncRNA from 1 species
AUCAAGCAUUAAGAGUUGCCCAGUUGCGGCACACCAACCGAGUUUCGCAUAGAGAUAACCACGGUGGUAAAAGAAUGUGUAAGUGUUUAACAACUUAAAAUAAUUAUCUUUAU